CCCACAGGCCCAGGAAGAGAUGCGGUCCACCUCCAUGGUAGCCAUUAUUUCAAAAGUAAAUGUGAGGACAAACCAAGAAGCUAGUGAAGAGGCCCAUCUGUGGCCUUCCCCCAGCUCUUGCUUCCUGGGAAAUGAUUCAGUUGCAGUCAUCGCCUGUGGUAAGUGCUGGUGAAUAAAGUGUUCUCCAUAGCCCUGGAGCUGCUCUCACCGGUGAACACUCAGGAUUAAAGAACCAUCCAUGCCAGGAAAACAGCGCACCUCCCAGCUCCCUGAAAGGACCCUAGUGCAGCAGAAGAAAAUUGAAACAGCAAUCCAAGUGAUAACUGGACCUUGGCAGGGACCUAGUUCAGCUCCCACAGAAGGUCUAUAAAAUAAGGAAUUGAUUCAUAUGAUUGUGAUCAGCCGUCUGUAAGCUGGAGACCCAGGAAAAGUCAGUGGGGUGGUUCCAGUCCAAGCCUGAAGGCCUGAGAACCUGGGAGCUGAUGAUGCCUUCAAUGAAUCGAAUGAUGCCAUCACUCCAGGAGGGGCACCCGCCUUCCUCAGUCUACAGGUACAGAUGCUAAAUGCUCUCCUAGAUGCGCCAGGAUAAUGUUUAGCCAGACGUCCGGGCACCCCACGGCCCAGUCCAGUUGACAGAAAAUCAGCCAUCACAACUGACCCAUCUUUGUCUCCUUCCACCCUGAGCAGCGCUUGUGGAGUAAGGAAGGCCGCUGGGGUCUGCAGGGAUGAGCCUGUGUGCUGGCUGUCCUUAUGCCCUCGGGGCUGCAGGUGCCGCUCAGGCCGUUCUGGUGCUAAGAUGCCCGCUGAGGCGCACAGCCGGGGGUGACCACGUUGGGGUCUCAGCGCCCGACUCGCGGGGAGACGGGGCUCUCCACCCCAUCAGGAAAGCCUACCUACCCCAGCUGGCAGGCCUGGAGCUGGGGAUAAAACGGGGCGGCAGCUGAGGACAAAGACCCUGAUAAGAAUGAGACGCACCUUCCCCACCAGUUUCUUCGCAAAGCUGCAGAGUCAGCCACGGAUUUCACCACCCAGGUUCUGUUCUGGGUACAUCAGCAGGUCAGCUGCCCUGACCGAGGCCCCGGGCUCUCUCUUUCCUGCCUGGCCUCCCCUCCCCUCCGUGACCUCUUUAUUAUAAAUGGAGAGGCCCCGCAGUGUGGCUGAUAUUCAAAUCGUUGUUUUUACUUUGUAACAGCAUGUACCCCGGUCAGUAACGAUACAUUUGUGGGUUUAUUUGCUUGGUAU